GACGUAGGGCGCGAGCGUUGUCCGGAUUUAUUGGGCGUAAAGAGCUCGUAGGCGCUCAUCGCGUCUGCCGUGAAAACCCGCAGCUCAACUGUGGGCUUGCAGCUGAUACGGGCAGGCUUGAGUUCGGUAGGGGAGACUGGAAUUCCUGGUGUAGCGGUGAAAUGCGUAGAUAUCUGGAGGAACACCGGUGGCGAAGGCGGCAUCCUGGACCGACACUGACGCUGAUGAGCGAAAGCCAGGGGAGCGAACGGG
rnacentral:rRNA from 1 species